AACCCAAAUCAAUAACCUUCGGCGUAAAGAGUGUUUAGGACAUUAUACACAAAUAAAGUCAAAUUGCUACUAAGCCGUAAAAAGCACCAGUAUAAACAAGAUCAACAACGAAAGUGACUUUAGCACACCCGAACACACGACAGCUAGGGCCCAAACUGGGAUUAGAUACCCCACUAUGCCUAGCCGUAAACACAAAUAUUCCAACAACAAGAAUAUUCGCCAGAGUACUACUAGCAACAGCUAAAAACUCAAAGGACUUGGCGGUGCUUCAUAUCCACCUAGAGGAGCCUGUUCUAUAAUCGAUAAACCCCGAUAAACCUCACCACCUCUUGCUAAUA
rnacentral:rRNA from 1 species